CCUACGGUAUGCAGCAGUGGGGAAUAUUGGACAAUGGGGGGAACCCUGAUCCCGCGCCGCCGCGUGAGUGAAGAAGUAUUUCGGUAUGUAAAGCUCUAUCAGCAGGGAAGAAAGAAAUGACGGUACCUGACUAAGAAGCACCGGCUAACUACGUGCCAGCAGCCGCGGUAAUACGGAGGGGGCAAGCGUUAUCCGGAUUUACUGGGUGUAAAGGGAGCGUAGACGGCGAUGCAAGUCUGAAGUGAAAGUCGGGGGCCCAACCUCCGGAACGCUUUGGAAACUGUAUGGCUGGAGUGCAGGAGAGGUAAGUGGAAUUCCUGGUGUAGCGGUGAAAUGCGUAGAUAUUAGGAGGAACACCAGUGGCGAAGGCGGCUUACUGGACUGUAACUGACGUUGAGGCUCGAAAGCGUGGGGAGCAAACAGGAUUAGAUACCCCAGUAGUC
rnacentral:rRNA from 1 species